UUAAGCGACUAAGCGUACACGGUGGAUGCCCUGGCAGUCAGAGGCGAUGAAGGACGUGCUAAUCUGCGAUAAGCGUCGGUAAGGUGAUAUGAACCGUUAUAACCGGCGAUUUCCGAAUGGGGAAACCCAGUGUGUUUCGACACACUAUCAUUAACUGAAUCCAUAGGUUAAUGAGGCGAACCGGGGGAACUGAAACAUCUAAGUACCCCGAGGAAAAGAAAUCAACCGAGAUUCCCCCAGUAGCGGCGAGCGAACGGGGAGCAGCCCAGAGCCUGAAUCAGUGUGUGUGUUAGUGGAAGCGUCUGGAAAGGCGCGCGAUACAGGGUGACAGCCCCGUACACAAAAAUGCACAUGCUGUGAGCUCGAUGAGUAGGGCGGGACACGUGGUAUCCUGUCUGAAUAUGGGGGGACCAUCCUCCAAGGCUAAAUACUCCUGACUGACCGAUAGUGAACCAGUACCGUGAGGGAAAGGCGAAAAGAACCCCGGCGAGGGGAGUGAAAAAGAACCUGAAACCGUGUACGUACAAGCAGUGGGAGCACGCUUAGGCGUGUGACUGCGUACCUUUUGUAUAAUGGGUCAGCGACUUAUAUUCUGUAGCAAGGUUAACCGAAUAGGGGAGCCGAAGGGAAACCGAGUCUUAACUGGGCGUUAAGUUGCAGGGUAUAGACCCGAAACCCGGUGAUCUAGCCAUGGGCAGGUUGAAGGUUGGGUAACACUAACUGGAGGACCGAACCGACUAAUGUUGAAAAAUUAGCGGAUGACUUGUGGCUGGGGGUGAAAGGCCAAUCAAACCGGGAGAUAGCUGGUUCUCCCCGAAAGCUAUUUAGGUAGCGCCUCGUGAAUUCAUCUCCGGGGGUAGAGCACUGUUUCGGCAAGGGGGUCAUCCCGACUUACCAACCCGAUGCAAACUGCGAAUACCGGAGAAUGUUAUCACGGGAGACACACGGCGGGUGCUAACGUCCGUCGUGAAGAGGGAAACAACCCAGACCGCCAGCUAAGGUCCCAAAGUCAUGGUUAAGUGGGAAACGAUGUGGGAAGGCCCAGACAGCCAGGAUGUUGGCUUAGAAGCAGCCAUCAUUUAAAGAAAGCGUAAUAGCUCACUGGUCGAGUCGGCCUGCGCGGAAGAUGUAACGGGGCUAAACCAUGCACCGAAGCUGCGGCAGCGACACUAUGUGUUGUUGGGUAGGGGAGCGUUCUGUAAGCCUGUGAAGGUGUGCUGUGAGGCAUGCUGGAGGUAUCAGAAGUGCGAAUGCUGACAUAAGUAACGAUAAAGCGGGUGAAAAGCCCGCUCGCCGGAAGACCAAGGGUUCCUGUCCAACGUUAAUCGGGGCAGGGUGAGUCGACCCCUAAGGCGAGGCCGAAAGGCGUAGUCGAUGGGAAACAGGUUAAUAUUCCUGUACUUGGUGUUACUGCGAAGGGGGGACGGAGAAGGCUAUGUUGGCCGGGCGACGGUUGUCCCGGUUUAAGCGUGUAGGCUGGUUUUCCAGGCAAAUCCGGAAAAUCAAGGCUGAGGCGUGAUGACGAGGCACUACGGUGCUGAAGCAACAAAUGCCCUGCUUCCAGGAAAAGCCUCUAAGCAUCAGGUAACAUCAAAUCGUACCCCAAACCGACACAGGUGGUCAGGUAGAGAAUACCAAGGCGCUUGAGAGAACUCGGGUGAAGGAACUAGGCAAAAUGGUGCCGUAACUUCGGGAGAAGGCACGCUGAUAUGUAGGUGAAGUCCCUCGCGGAUGGAGCUGAAAUCAGUCGAAGAUACCAGCUGGCUGCAACUGUUUAUUAAAAACACAGCACUGUGCAAACACGAAAGUGGACGUAUACGGUGUGACGCCUGCCCGGUGCCGGAAGGUUAAUUGAUGGGGUUAGCCGCAAGGCGAAGCUCUUGAUCGAAGCCCCGGUAAACGGCGGCCGUAACUAUAACGGUCCUAAGGUAGCGAAAUUCCUUGUCGGGUAAGUUCCGACCUGCACGAAUGGCGUAAUGAUGGCCAGGCUGUCUCCACCCGAGACUCAGUGAAAUUGAACUCGCUGUGAAGAUGCAGUGUACCCGCGGCAAGACGGAAAGACCCCGUGAACCUUUACUAUAGCUUGACACUGAACAUUGAGCCUUGAUGUGUAGGAUAGGUGGGAGGCUUUGAAGUGUGGACGCCAGUCUGCAUGGAGCCGACCUUGAAAUACCACCCUUUAAUGUUUGAUGUUCUAACGUUGACCCGUAAUCCGGGUUGCGGACAGUGUCUGGUGGGUAGUUUGACUGGGGCGGUCUCCUCCUAAAGAGUAACGGAGGAGCACGAAGGUUGGCUAAUCCUGGUCGGACAUCAGGAGGUUAGUGCAAUGGCAUAAGCCAGCUUGACUGCGAGCGUGACGGCGCGAGCAGGUGCGAAAGCAGGUCAUAGUGAUCCGGUGGUUCUGAAUGGAAGGGCCAUCGCUCAACGGAUAAAAGGUACUCCGGGGAUAACAGGCUGAUACCGCCCAAGAGUUCAUAUCGACGGCGGUGUUUGGCACCUCGAUGUCGGCUCAUCACAUCCUGGGGCUGAAGUAGGUCCCAAGGGUAUGGCUGUUCGCCAUUUAAAGUGGUACGCGAGCUGGGUUUAGAACGUCGUGAGACAGUUCGGUCCCUAUCUGCCGUGGGCGCUGGAGAACUGAGGGGGGCUGCUCCUAGUACGAGAGGACCGGAGUGGACGCAUCACUGGUGUUCGGGUUGUCAUGCCAAUGGCACUGCCCGGUAGCUAAAUGCGGAAGAGAUAAGUGCUGAAAGCAUCUAAGCACGAAACUUGCCCCGAGAUGAGUUCUCCCUGAC
rnacentral:rRNA from 2 species